rnacentral:rRNA from 1 species
UACGAGGGGGGCAAGCGUUGUUCGGAUUUAUUGGGCGUAAAGGGUGCGUAGGCGGGUCUUUAAGUCAGGGGUGAAAUCCUGGAGCUCAACUCCAGAACUGCCUUUGAUACUGGCGAUCUCGAGUCCGGGAGAGGUGAGUGGAACUGCGAGUGUAGAGGUGAAAUUCGUAGAUAUUCGCAAGAACACCAGUGGCGAAGGCGGCUCACUGGCCCGGUACUGACGCUGAGGAGCGAAAGCCAGGGGAGCAAACGGG